GCCUCCUAAAAGGUAACGGAGGCGCUCAAAGGUUCCCUCAGAAUGGUUGGAAAUCAUUCAUAGAGUGUAAAGGCAUAAGGGAGCUUGACUGCGAGACCUACAAGUCGAGCAGGGUCGAAAGACGGACUUAGUGAUCCGGUGGUUCCGCAUGGAAGGGCCAUCGCUCAACGGAUAAAAGCUACCCCGGGGAUAACAGGCUUAUCUCCCCCAAGAGUUCACAUCGACGGGGAGGUUUGGCACCUCGAUGUCGGCUCAUCGCAUCCUGGGGCUGUAGUCGGUCCCAAGGGUUGGGCUGUUCGCCCAUUAAAGCGGUACGCGAGCUGGGUUCAGAACGUCGUGAGACAGUUCGGUCCCUAUCCGUCGUGGGCGUAGGAAAUUUGAGAGGAGCUGUCCUUAGUACGAGAGGACCGGGAUGGACAUACCUCUGGUGUACCAGUUGUCGUGCCAACGGCAUAGCUGGGUAGCUAUGUGUGGACGGGAUAAGUGCUGAAAGCAUCUAAGCAUGAAGCCCCCCUCAAGAUGAGAUUUCCCAACUUCGGUUAUAAGAUCCCUC
rnacentral:rRNA from 1 species